rnacentral:pre_miRNA from 1 species
CAAAUACUCCCUCCAUCCGGAAAUACUUGUCAUCAAAAUGGAUAAAAGGAAAUGUAUCUAGACGUAUUUUAGUUUUAGAUACAUCUAUUUUUAUCCAUUUUGAUGACAAGUAUUUCCGGACGGAGGGAGUAGAAA